UUGCAGGGCAAGAUUAAAAAUUGUUUG
rnacentral:piRNA from 1 species